GCCAUGGAGAGCCUCUGGGCAGCAGGCGCGGAGAGGCCAGGCUCACAGAGAGCUAUUGGCGCACGGAUUCGUGCGCAGGGCUACUAGUCAAUAAUAAGACUGUGUUUUGAUCUUCACCUGUCUGAUUCCUGCAUCUACCCCUCGAUUACAUCUGAACUCCGUGAAGAGGAGGAUGCCACUUAUUGGUUCUUCUCAAGAUAGUAACAAACCCAGGCUGACCAUGAGAGGGAUUCUGAUCUGACGGGUCCAAUUCCAGGACACAGCUGAACAGAUGAGACUUCACUCAUGAGGAAGCAUUACCGAACAACACCAUAUGUGUGGUCCAGUGCUGGAACUCGAGGAACUGGGCUGGAAGGAAGCGGAGCCACCAAGAUAAGAAGAAUGACAGCUACCAUGUGUUGGGUGCUCACCACGUGCCAGGCACACCCGUGCACAUUUCCGAACAUUAACCCACUGAUCCUCACCCCACCCCUAGGAGCCGGACCCGAGGAGGCCCUGCUGUACGAGGGGCCUUGUGUGCCUGAGACCCACCUCGCUCAUUACACUCAUGUCUUGUUC